rnacentral:rRNA from 1 species
AGCAGCCGCGGUAAUUCCAGCUCCAAUAGCGUAUAUUAAAGUUGUUGCAGUUAAAAGCUCGUAGUUGAAUUUCGGGGUUAGUAGGUUGGUCAUGCCUCUGGUAUGUACUGGUCUCACUGAUUCCUCCUUCCUGAUGAACCUUAAUGCCAUUAAUUUGGUGUUUUGGGGAAUUUGGACUGUUACUUUGAAAAAUUAGAGUGUUUAAAGCAAGCUAACGCUUGAAUACAUUAGCAUGGAAUAAUGAAAUAGGACGUUCGAUCCUAUUUUGUUGGUUUCUAGGACCGCCGUAAUGAUUAAUAGGGACAGUCGGGGGCAUCAGUAUUCAAUUGUCAGAGGUGAAAUUCUUGGAUUCAUUGAAGACUAACUACUGCGAAAGCAUUUGCCAAGGAUGUUUUCAUUAAUCAAGAACGAAAGUUAGGGGAUCGAAGACGAUCAGAUACCGUCGUAGUCUUAACCAUAAACUAUGCCGACUAGGGAUCGGAUGAUGUUAAUUUUUUAAUGACUCAUUCGGCGCCUUACGGGAAACCAAAGUGUUU